rnacentral:rRNA from 1 species
UACGGAGGGUGCAAGCGUUAUCCGGAUUCACUGGGUUUAAAGGGAGCGUAGGUGGGUCUGUAAGUCAGUGGUGAAAUCUCCGGGCUUAACCUGGAAACUGCCAUUGAUACUAUAGGUCUUGAAUAUUGUGGAGGUUAGCGGAAUAUGUCAUGUAGCGGUGAAAUGCUUAGAUAUGACAUAGAACACCAAUUGCGAAGGCAGCUGGCUACGCAUAUAUUGACACUGAGGCUCGAAAGCGUGGGUAGCGAACAGG